GAAUCACAGAAUCACAGAAUCACAAGGUUGGAAAGGACCCAUUGGAUCAUCGAGUCCAACCAUUCCUAACACUCCCUAAACCAUGUCCCUAAGCACUUCAUCCACCCGUUCCUUAAACACCUCCAGGGAAGGCGACUCGACCCCCUCCCUGGGCAGCUGUUCCAGUGCCCGAUGACUCUUACUGUGAAGAAUUUCUUUCUGAUAUCCAACCUGAACCUCCCCUGACGGAGCUUCAGGCCAUUCCCUCUAGUCCUGUCCUCAGUCACUUGGGAGAAGAGGCCAGCUCCCUCCUCUCCACAACCUCCUUUCAGGUAGUUGUAGAGAGUAACAGAGAGACAGAGUUGUAGAGAGUGUGUUUGCUAUGCCCUUCUCUCUUGACCUGCAUCAUCUUUCUGUGAACAAAGGCUUUAUUUAUGAACAUGUCCAGGCACAAAGAAUUACUCACAUUUGCUAAAUACCGAAGAAAAUGUAUGCUUUCUUCUCACUAUUCCUGCCUCCUGGUGCUGAACUGCUCCCACUGCAACAGAUUUUUGGGGUGUUGUAAAAGUGGAGGAGAUCAAAUGAAUGAUGGGCAAGGUCAAUUGAGUGAGCUCUCUUUUGGGUAAAGGCAUGAUGAAAAAACCUGAGAGGCCAAGCUUCUUUUGCUUUUGGCUUGCUACCUUCAGGAUCACAGCCAAAGCUGGUCUGACAUACAAACUGCUCUUCGUCCCGUGGCAACACGUCGUCACACAGUGGAAAGAACUCGUGGAUAUUUAGCAGGGCCAAGGAAAGCUCCCGCAGUACGAGACUAACUUGGUGUAGGAGAUGCUCUUUUCUUGAUGUUUUUGUUCUACUGUAACUUUCCAGAGGAAGAGGAGGAGAAGCGCUACUGAGUUUUCCUUGCAUCCAUGAAGAAUUUUGGACCAAGAAAUGCCUGCAAAGGCCACAGCUCAGUGCCAGGUGUUCUUCCUGCCAAGAGAUGUUGAAGAUCUCGUUCUGAAAAGAUAAAGUCUAGUUUACUUAAACGAGGGGGAUCAGGAACAAUCCCCAGCUCCUGCCGCUGGACGAGGAUUCUACCGCUUCCAGCUGUGACAGAAGAUGUUAUUCUCCAUGUGGAAACUAGGAAGAGAAUUUUGCUGGACUGUUUCGUGUUUUCCCUCUUUAAAGUGCGGCUGCCCUUCGCUCCAACAGAUAAGUGAAUGGCCACAGCAUCGGUAAAGUUUGUGUGUGCGUUUUUUAUAUUGGUGAGGCAUUUCUGUUUGCAAGAACUGAAGGCAAACCCACAGCUUCUGUGAGCUCUUCUGGGUACAAAGUGUGCAUGUGCAUGUCCAAAAGCUCAACAAAGAUAACCAGAAGUGAGAUGGUUCCCUGGCAGCCACCAAGGAGACUGACAUGCAGCCUGCAGUGUAGGGGCUGACCUUGGGACACAGCAGGCUGCAGGCUGUUGGAAAACAUGGGGUUUGGGCUCUGGAACAAGAACAGCCUUUCCACAACUCUGUGGUGU